CACCAUGCAUUGUGUCCAGGGCUGAAAGAUUGACAUUUUGUUCGUCCAAUCACAUGCUACUGGUUCAUUUGGAAUCAAUCCUUUCCUUUCCUAAUCAACACAGAAGCCAUUUUGAGAAUUCGCCAGCCACUUCAGUCAAACAAACACUCGCCAUAGUGGCUACGAGUGUCCUAUCAACUUGUGCUUUUCAGGAAAUUUAGAGAACACCCCUGGCUAUCAUCCGUGAAGUUUAUAGCUCAUAUAGCCAAAUACUUUUGCUUAAAACGACCUCGGAAAUCGGCGAGAUUCUGGCGCAAUGGACCCGGCACAUCACAGCAAAAGACGCAGACAAGGUAACGAGGACCCAAGAGAAGUUUACAAGCGACUUUACGACUCCAUCCAUGUAAGCGUUAAAAAUCAGAUUGAGCAGAGGUUUCAAAAUCUUGAAUGUAUGAGGUUUAUGGAGCUUCUAGAUUUUGACCUAUAUGACUCCUACAAAAAAGAGUUUCCACAGGCAGCAUUCACAAGUCUGAAAGAUAACUAUGGUCAUUUAUUCGAUAUGGUAAAACUGAAGUCAGAACUGCAGGUGUUUUACAAUAACAAGGACCUCCAGGGCAGCGCUAGGUUGUGUGAUUCACUGUGCGCAAUGAAAACCAAUGAACUGAGCGAAGCAAUGCCUGAACUGUACAGACUAAUGUGUCUCGUUGCCUCUAUCGGGGCUACGUCUGCCGGGGUGGAGAGAAGUUUCUCUUGUCUGAAAAGACUGAAAACGUAUGCAAGGAACACAAUCGGACAAGAUCGACUGAGGAGCUUGGCUAUCAUCGCACUUGAAAGAAGGAUUCUAAAAUCUCUUAGAGAGAAUCCACAGUGGUAUGAAAAGACCAUAGACAUCUUUGCAGCACAAACAAACAGGAGAAUGGACUUUACUUUUAAGUAGGCCUAAAUUAUUUUUCUAGGCCUAGGCUAUAUUUCAUUUUCUUUUGUACUUUUUUUUUAAUUGUUGAAGGGAAACAAAAAGCAGAGACAAGACCGUUUUUGCAAUCAACGUUACAGUUUUUUUUAAAUCUGGGGAUGGAUGGCUGAGUUGGACACGUUCUGGAUCCACACGACCUUAGAUGAAGCCAGCUGCAACCCGUAGAGUGGAGUCGUGGAGAGAGCCCCUCGCCCCUCAGCUAAACCAGAGUAAAUGAAGCCAGCACCAACCUGUGGAGUGGAGUCCAGGAGAGAGCAUGCCGCCCCUCAGCUAAACCAGAUUAGAUGAAGCCAGCUGCAACCCGUAGAGUGGAGUUGUGGAGAGAGCCCCUCGCCCCUCAGCUAAACCAGAGGU